CCCCUCUUAGUUUAGCCUGGCUAGAACGCUCCGCUGUAGACGGAGAGAUCCCCGGUUCAAAUCCGGGAGAGGGGA
rnacentral:tRNA from 1 species